CCUACGGGAGGCAGCAGUGGGGAAUUUUGGACAAUGGGGGCAACCCUGAUCCAGCCAUGCCGCGUGAGUGAAGAAGGCCUUCGGGUUGUAAAGCUCUUUCGGCCGGAACGAAAUCGCGCACGUGAAUAACGUGCGUGGAUGACGGUACCGGAGUAAGAAGCACCGGCUAACUACGUGCCAGCAGCCGCGGUAAUACGUAGGGUGCGAGCGUUAAUCGGAAUUACUGGGCGUAAAGCGUGCGCAGGCGGUUCGCUAAGUCAGACGUGAAAGCCCCGGGCUUAACCUGGGAACGGCGUUUGAAACUGGCGGGCUCGAGUACGGCAGAGGGGGGUGGAAUUCCACGUGUAGCAGUGAAAUGCGUAGAUAUGUGGAGGAACACCGAUGGCGAAGGCAGCCCCCUGGGCCGAUACUGACGCUCAUGCACGAAAGCGUGGGGAGCAAACAGGAUUAGAUACCCUGGUAGUCCACGCCCUAAACUAUGUCAACUAGUUGUCGGGGAAGCAAUUCCUUGGUAACGCAGCUAACGCGUGAAGUUGACCGCCUGGGGAGUACGGUCGCAAGAUUAAAACUCAAAGGAUUGACGG
rnacentral:rRNA from 1 species